AGAGUCCGUGCCACUGCUUCUCCCCCACAGCCGACGGGUCCAUUACUGAUGGGGACCGAAUCAUUUCUUUUCAAUGUCAUCUGCAUAAUAACACGCUAAGAACUGACUGGAGAGGGAAGGCGGUGUCUCCCUAAGGCGCUCCCAGGCGCACUUGCCGAACAUGUACCACGAGGGAGGGAGCAGGGCUGUUCCCUAAACUUGUCUGCUCACUAGUGCAAUCCUACUCUUAGUACUACACAACUGGGAAGACGUCUGUGGGAAAGAGCUGUUUCAAUGAAAUAAGUUGAUGGCAACUAAGGUGACAGAUGACGACACCCAGCCCCCUCCAUUCCUCUACCCCAAGGAGGGCAUCCAGGACCCCGAGAUGCGCCUG